GAUGGACGCUGGCGGCGUGCUUAACACAUGCAAGUCGAACGGAAAGGCUCCUGCUUGCAGGGGUACUCGAGUGGCGAACGGGUGAGUAACACGUGGGUGAUCUGCCCUGCACUUCGGGAUAAGCCUGGGAAACUGGGUCUAAUACCGGAUAGGACGAUGGUUUGGAUGCCAUUGUGGAAAGUUUUUCGGUGUGGGAUGAGCUCGCGGCCUAUCAGCUUGUUGGUGGGGUAAUGGCCUACCAAGGCGUCGACGGGUAGCCGGCCUGAGAGGGUGUACGGCCACAUUGGGACUGAGAUACGGCCCAGACUCCUACGGGAGGCAGCAGUGGGGAAUAUUGCACAAUGGGCGCAAGCCUGAUGCAGCGACGCCGCGUGGGGGAUGACGGCCUUCGGGUUGUAAACUCCUUUCGCUAGGGACGAAGCGCAAGUGACGGUACCUGGAGAAGAAGCACCGGCUAACUACGUG
rnacentral:rRNA from 1 species